UUUGAGAUGCCAAUCAAAGCGCGCAGCAGCCAAUCCAAGGCUUUAAAUUAGUCACGCUUGUUGAGGUCACGUGUUCGUGACUGAAUUCACCGCAUUCACAAAGUCUCUCGUCUUAAUCAACAAAUAGAGUUUUAGCGACAUUAAUGCUGAAUUUCGUCGGAUCACAACCCUUACUUUACAGUCCAAAUUCCUGUCCCAACUGUAUCAGUUUUCUGAAGAUCAGCUGACAGUGUUUACCAUAAAGGGUGGAGUGUUUAGAAAAAGCAUUCGGGAUGUGAUGGUGCCAAUGUCUCAGAAUGGAGACCAAGCAAGAGUGCAUUCUCAAGGGGCUAUGCAUCCACCUGAAUGAAGAUCCACAGGAUCUGGUGAAGGGAGUAUAUGGAUGAUGACCCUGCAAGAAACAAAGCGGACAUCAAGAAGACCUUUUUGGGGAUCUGUGAUGUAAAGCAUGAAUUUCCUGCUGCAACAGAAGACCCUGAAGAUAUCGGCAUUGUACUGGAAGAUGUGGAGGUGCUCUCUGGUUUAGGUAAUGUAGCAUUGGCUACAGCCCUGCUAUUUGGACUAAUAUACUCUUUAAAUCUUACUCAUCCACAGGAGUUCCAUUACACUUUUAAGAUGCUCCAAAAAAUGAUUCUUGAACUGGACUUGUGUAAAUUGUCUGCCAAAGCACGGGCACUGAAAAAAAAAACUCCUCCGUUAGGUGUGCUGUGUUUGAGGAUCACUUUGUGGACACUGUGUUUUAUUUUCUUGUAAGCUCGUGUUAUUGUUGUACUGCAUUUUUGCAUGGUGAGCAGAGGUGAUUAAGUCUCUCAACCUCAUUUAAUUGGCUCACUCAUUUAAUCUCAUGUUAAAAAAAUAAAAU